UACGGAGGGUGCGAGCGUUGUCCGGAAUCACUGGGCGUAAAGGGCGCGUAGGCGGCCUGAUAAGUCGGGGGUGAAAUCCUGCGGCUUAACCGCAGGGCUGCCUUCUAAACUGUCAGGCUAGAGCACGGUAGAGGCAGAUGGAAUUCCCGGUGUAGCGGUGGAAUGCGUAGAGAUCGGGAAGAACAUCAGUGGCGAAGGCGGUCUGCUGGGCCGUUGCUGACGCUGAGGCGCGAAAGCGUGGGGAGCAAACAGG
rnacentral:rRNA from 1 species